CCUACGGGUGGCAGCAGUGGGGGAUAUUGCACAAUGGGGGGAACCCUGAUGCAGCGACGCCGCGUGGGUGAAGAAGGGCCUCGGCGCGUAAAGCCCUGUCAGCAGGGAAGAAAAUGACGGUACCUGAAGAAGAAGCCCCGGCUAACUACGUGCCAGCAGCCGCGGUAAUACGUAGGGGGCAAGCGUUAUCCGGAUGUACUGGGGGUAAAGGGGGCGUAGACGGCGCUGCAAGUCAGGAGUGAAAGCCCGGGGCCUAACCCCGGAACUGCUCUUGGAACUGCGUGGCUGGAGUGCAGGAGGGGGAGGCGGAAUUCCUGGGGUAGCGGUGAAAUGCGUAGAUAUCAGGAGGAACACCGAUGGCGAAGGCGGCCUGCUGGACUGCAACUGACGUUGAGGCGCGAAAGCGUGGGGAGCAAACAGGAUUAGAUACCCUUGUAGUC
rnacentral:rRNA from 1 species